CUGAAAUAUUCUGUUCCACUGGGUGGCCCUUACGCGAAUAUUCAUGAUAUCCUCCUCUUGUGGGCAUGUCCUUGAGACAACGCGCAAGCGAACGGAACUGAAAAUAUUAGUAGACGCUUCUCAAAUCGCAUCGGUUUAAUGGAUUAUUUCGAAAAGUCCUGCUGCAGGAGACAAGAGGACUGCAGAAGUGAACAGAGCAAUAAACUGCAAUGUCUGUAAUGUAAGAUGUCUGAGACAGUGCUACAGGGAGACAGAAGGACAUGCAGCUGAUUGUCCUUACAGUGCCAAACCACAUGUGACCAUAAGUCCCACCAGACAUGUUUGAGAACGUGAAUUGCCUUGAUGGAAGAGUGGAGUAACAUCUCACAGCAAGAGCUGCAAAUCUGGUGCUGAGGAUGAGAUGCUCUAAACCAGCUGGUGCAGACUUUCAAAUACUCUGUCCAUCAAAUGUCUGUGAAAUUUGUUCAGUUUAUGUCUCAGUUGUUGAAUAUUUUUGUUUGUACAAAUAUAUUUUUU